rnacentral:lncRNA from 1 species
UCAUCGCCCUCUUGAUGAUCCUAUGACCAAGAGUCUUUAAAAAUUAAAUACAUGUCUCUAAUUCUCAACACUUUGAGAAUAUGUAUCAAAACUAAUUCUAUAGACGAUUCAAGGAAACAUUACACUUGAAUAAAAAAGAACUUGCCCCUUUUAUUGAUCAUAUUAAUAUAUUAAGUACAAAAUUAUGCUCUAAAUAUAUUAUAAUGUGUCAGCCAUAUUGACUUCUAGGACAUACAUCUAAUAAUCUCCCACUUGGACUAAAAUCA